rnacentral:rRNA from 1 species
GGUUAAGCGACUAAGCGUACACGGUGGAUGCCCUGGCAGUCAGAGGCGAUGAAGGACGUGCUAAUCUGCGAUAAGCGUCGGUAAGGUGAUAUGAACCGUUAUAACCGGCGAUUUCCGAAUGGGGAAACCCAGUGUGAUUCGUCACACUAUCAUUAACUGAAUCCAUAGGUUAAUGAGGCGAACCGGGGGAACUGAAACAUCUAAGUACCCCGAGGAAAAGAAAUCAACCGAGAUUCCCCCAGUAGCGGCGAGCGAACGGGGAGCAGCCCAGAGCCUGAAUCAGUGUGUGUGUUAGUGGAAGCGUCUGGAAAGGCGCGCGAUACAGGGUGACAGCCCCGUACACAAAAAUGCACAUGCUGUGAGCUCGAUGAGUAGGGCGGGACACGUGGUAUCCUGUCUGAAUAUGGGGGGACCAUCCUCCAAGGCUAAAUACUCCUGACUGACCGAUAGUGAACCAGUACCGUGAGGGAAAGGCGAAAAGAACCCCGGCGAGGGGAGUGAAAAAGAACCUGAAACCGUGUACGUACAAGCAGUGGGAGCCUCUUUAUGGGGUGACUGCGUACCUUUUGUAUAAUGGGUCAGCGACUUAUAUUCUGUAGCAAGGUUAACCGAAUAGGGGAGCCGAAGGGAAACCGAGUCUUAACUGGGCGUUAAGUUGCAGGGUAUAGACCCGAAACCCGGUGAUCUAGCCAUGGGCAGGUUGAAGGUUGGGUAACACUAACUGGAGGACCGAACCGACUAAUGUUGAAAAAUUAGCGGAUGACUUGUGGCUGGGGGUGAAAGGCCAAUCAAACCGGGAGAUAGCUGGUUCUCCCCGAAAGCUAUUUAGGUAGCGCCUCGUGAAUUCAUCUCCGGGGGUAGAGCACUGUUUCGGCAAGGGGGUCAUCCCGACUUACCAACCCGAUGCAAACUGCGAAUACCGGAGAAUGUUAUCACGGGAGACACACGGCGGGUGCUAACGUCCGUCGUGAAGAGGGAAACAACCCAGACCGCCAGCUAAGGUCCCAAAGUCAUGGUUAAGUGGGAAACGAUGUGGGAAGGCCCAGACAGCCAGGAUGUUGGCUUAGAAGCAGCCAUCAUUUAAAGAAAGCGUAAUAGCUCACUGGUCGAGUCGGCCUGCGCGGAAGAUGUAACGGGGCUAAACCAUGCACCGAAGCUGCGGCAGCGACACUAUGUGUUGUUGGGUAGGGGAGCGUUCUGUAAGCCUGCGAAGGUGUACUGUGAGGUAUGCUGGAGGUAUCAGAAGUGCGAAUGCUGACAUAAGUAACGAUAAAGCGGGUGAAAAGCCCGCUCGCCGGAAGACCAAGGGUUCCUGUCCAACGUUAAUCGGGGCAGGGUGAGUCGACCCCUAAGGCGAGGCCGAAAGGCGUAGUCGAUGGGAAACAGGUUAAUAUUCCUGUACUUGGUGUUACUGCGAAGGGGGGACGGAGAAGGCUAUGUUGGCCGGGCGACGGUUGUCCCGGUUUAAGCGUGUAGGCUGGUUUUCCAGGCAAAUCCGGAAAAUCAAGGCUGAGGCGUGAUGACGAGGCACUACGGUGCUGAAGCAACAAAUGCCCUGCUUCCAGGAAAAGCCUCUAAGCAUCAGGUAACAUCAAAUCGUACCCCAAACCGACACAGGUGGUCAGGUAGAGAAUACCAAGGCGCUUGAGAGAACUCGGGUGAAGGAACUAGGCAAAAUGGUGCCGUAACUUCGGGAGAAGGCACGCUGAUAUGUAGGUGAAGUCCCUCGCGGAUGGAGCUGAAAUCAGUCGAAGAUACCAGCUGGCUGCAACUGUUUAUUAAAAACACAGCACUGUGCAAACACGAAAGUGGACGUAUACGGUGUGACGCCUGCCCGGUGCCGGAAGGUUAAUUGAUGGGGUUAGCGGUAACGCGAAGCUCUUGAUCGAAGCCCCGGUAAACGGCGGCCGUAACUAUAACGGUCCUAAGGUAGCGAAAUUCCUUGUCGGGUAAGUUCCGACCUGCACGAAUGGCGUAAUGAUGGCCAGGCUGUCUCCACCCGAGACUCAGUGAAAUUGAACUCGCUGUGAAGAUGCAGUGUACCCGCGGCAAGACGGAAAGACCCCGUGAACCUUUACUAUAGCUUGACACUGAACAUUGAGCCUUGAUGUGUAGGAUAGGUGGGAGGCUUUGAAGUGUGGACGCCAGUCUGCAUGGAGCCGACCUUGAAAUACCACCCUUUAAUGUUUGAUGUUCUAACGUUGGCCCCUAAUCGGGGUUGCGGACAGUGUCUGGUGGGUAGUUUGACUGGGGCGGUCUCCUCCUAAAGAGUAACGGAGGAGCACGAAGGUUGGCUAAUCCUGGUCGGACAUCAGGAGGUUAGUGCAAUGGCAUAAGCCAGCUUGACUGCGAGCGUGACGGCGCGAGCAGGUGCGAAAGCAGGUCAUAGUGAUCCGGUGGUUCUGAAUGGAAGGGCCAUCGCUCAACGGAUAAAAGGUACUCCGGGGAUAACAGGCUGAUACCGCCCAAGAGUUCAUAUCGACGGCGGUGUUUGGCACCUCGAUGUCGGCUCAUCACAUCCUGGGGCUGAAGUAGGUCCCAAGGGUAUGGCUGUUCGCCAUUUAAAGUGGUACGCGAGCUGGGUUUAGAACGUCGUGAGACAGUUCGGUCCCUAUCUGCCGUGGGCGCUGGAGAACUGAGGGGGGCUGCUCCUAGUACGAGAGGACCGGAGUGGACGCAUCACUGGUGUUCGGGUUGUCAUGCCAAUGGCACUGCCCGGUAGCUAAAUGCGGAAGAGAUAAGUGCUGAAAGCAUCUAAGCACGAAACUUGCCCCGAGAUGAGUUCUCCCUGACUCCCUGAGAGUCCUGAAGGAACGUUGAAGACGACGACGUUGAUAGGCCGGGUGUGUAAGCGCAGCGAUGCGUUGAGCUAACCGGUACUAAUGAACCGUGAGGCUUAACCUU